rnacentral:rRNA from 1 species
UACGUAGGGUGCGAGCGUUAAUCGGAAUUACUGGGCGUAAAGCGUGCGCAGGCGGUUUUGUAAGCCAGAUGUGAAAUCCCCGGGCUCAACCUGGGAAUGGCAUUUGGGACUGCAAGGCUGGAGUACGGCAGAGGAGACUGGAAUUCCCGGUGUAGCAGUGAAAUGCGUAGAUAUCAGGAGGAAUACCGAUGGCGAAGGCAGGUCUCUGGGCUGAUACUGACGCUCAUGCACGAAAGCGUGGGGAGCAAACAGG